ACACGACUACGAGUUUGAUCCUGGCUCAGAUUGAACGCUGGCGGCAGGGCCUAACACAUGCAAGUCGAGCGGUAGAGAGGGUGCUUGCAUCUCUUGAGAGCGGCGGACGGGUGAGUAAUGCCUAGGAAUCUGCCUAGUGGUGGGGGAUAACGUUCGGAAACGGACGCUAAUACCGCAUACGUCCUACGGGAGAAAGCGGGGGAUCUUCGGACCUCGCGCCAUUAGAUGAGCCUAGGUCGGAUUAGCUAGUUGGGGAGGUAAUGGCUCACCAAGGCGACGAUCCGUAACUGGUCUGAGAGGAUGAUCAGUCACACUGGGACUGAGACACGGCCCAGACUCCUACGGGAGGCAGCAGUGGGGAAUAUUGGACAAUGGGCGAAAGCCUGAUCCAGCAAUGCCGCGUGAGUGAUGAAGGCCUUCGGGUUGUAAAGCUCUUUUACUCGGGACGAUAAUGACGGUACCGAGAGAAUAAGCCCCGGCUAACUACGUG
rnacentral:rRNA from 1 species